rnacentral:rRNA from 1 species
AUUGAACGCUGGCGGCAGGCUUAACACAUGCAAGUCGAACGAGUGGCGGACGGGUGAGUAAUGUUUGGGAAACUGGCUGAUGGAGGGGGAUAACUACGGGAAACGGUAGCUAAUACCGCGUACCAUAGGAUGAGCCCAAGUGGGAUUAGGUAGUUGGUGGGGUAAUGGCUCACCAAGGCGACGAUCCCUAGCUGGUCUGAGAGGAUGACCAGCCACACUGGAACGGAGACACGGCCCAGACUCCUACGGUAGGCAGCAGUGGGGAAUAUUGCGCAAUGGGGGCAACCCUGAUGCAGCCAUGCCGCGUGAAUGAAGAAGGCCUUCGGGUUGUAAAGUUCUUUCGGUGGCGAGGCGUUAACUACAGAAGAAGCACCGGCUAACUCCGUGCCAGCCGCCGCGGUAAUAC